CAGCAGCCGCGGGAAUACGGAGGGGGCUAGCGUUGUUCGGAAUUACUGGGCGUAAAGCGCACGUAGGCGGCUUGGUAAGUUAGAGGUGAAAGCCCGGAGCUCAACUCCGGAAUUGCCUUUAAGACUGCCGAGCUAGUAGGUGAGAGAGGUAAGUGGGAUUCCGAGUGUAGAGGUGAAAUUCGUAGAUAUUCGGAAGAACACCAGUGGCGAAGGCGGCUUACUGGCUCAUUCUAGACGCUGAGGUGCGAAAGCGUGGGGAGCAAACAGGAUUAGAUACCCCUGUAGUCCCUGUCUCUUAUAC
rnacentral:rRNA from 1 species